rnacentral:rRNA from 1 species
CAGCAGCCACGGUAAUACGGAGGGUGCAAGCGUUAAUCGGAAUUACUGGGCGUAAAGCGCACGCAGGCGGUUUGUUAAGUCAGAUGUGAAAUCCCCGAGCUUAACUUGGGAACUGCAUUUGAAACUGGCAAGCUAGAGUCUUGUAGAGGGGGGUAGAAUUCCAGGUGUAGCGGUGAAAUGCGUAGAGAUCUGGAGGAAUACCGGUGGCGAAGGCGGCCCCCUGGACAAAGACUGACGCUCAGGUGCGAAAGCGUGGGGAGCAAACAGGAUUAGAUACCCGCGUAGUCCCUGUCUCUUAUAC